CAAUAGCGUAUAUUAAAGUUGUUGCAGUUAAAAAGCUCGUAGUUGGAUUUCUGGUAGGAGUGACCGUUCCGAACUUGAUUGUUCGUGUAUUGUGUUUUCUCCAGCCAUCCUUGUGGAGAACUUUUCAUGCAUUAAUUUGUAGGGAUUGGGACCCGCAUCGCUUACUGUGAAAAAAUUAGAGUGUUUAAAGCAGGCAAUCGCUUGAAUACAUUAGCAUGGAAUAAUAAGAUAGGACUUUGGUACUAUUUUGUUGGUUUGCAUACCAAAUUAAUGAUCAACAGGAACAGUUUGAGGAUAUUCGUAUGAACAUGUCAGAGGUGAAAUUCUUGGAUUUUGAUCAGGCGAACUACUGCGAAAGCAUUUAUCAAGGAUGUUUUCAUUAA
rnacentral:rRNA from 1 species